UACGAAGGGGGCUAGCGUUGUUCGGAUUCAUUGGGCGUAAAGGGUGCGUAGGUGGCGAGGCAAGUCAGAUGUGAAAUCCCGGGCUCAACCCCGGAACUGCAUUUGAAACUGCCUUGCUCGAGUACUGGAGAGGAGACUGGAAUUUACGGUGUAGCAGUGAAAUGCGUAGAUAUCGUAAGGAAGACCAGUGGCGAAGGCGAGUCUCUGGACAGUUACUGACAGCUGAGGACAGCGAAGGCCAGGGGAGCAAACGGG
rnacentral:rRNA from 1 species